rnacentral:rRNA from 1 species
UACGUAGGGGGCAAGCGUUGUCCGGAAUUAUUGGGCGUAAAGAGCGUGUAGGCGGUCCGGUAAGUCAGCUGUGAAAGUCAAGGGCUCAACCCUUGAAAGCCGGUUGAUACUGUCGGGCUAGAGUCCGGAAGAGGCGAGUGGAAUUCCCGGUGUAGCGGUGAAAUGCGCAGAUAUCAGGAAGAACACCAAUGGCGAAAAGCAGCUCUCUGGGACGGUACUGACGCUGAGACGCGAAAGCGUGGGGAGCGAACAGG